UAGUCCACGCCGUAAACGAUGAGAACUAGCUGUUGGGAGCCUUGAGCUCUUAGUGGCGCAGCUAACGCAAUAAGUUCUCCGCCUGGGGAGUACGGUCGCAAGAUUAAAACUCAAAGGAAUUGACGGGGGGCCCGCACAAGCGGUGGAGCAUGUGGUUUAAUUCGAUGCAACGCGAAGAACCUUACCUACCCUUGACAUCCUCGGAACUUUCCAGAGAUGGAUUGGUGCCUUCGGGAACCGAGUGACAGGUGCUGCAUGGCUGUCGUCAGCUCGUGUCGUGAGAUGUUGGGUUAAGUCCCGUAACGAGCGCAACCCUUAUCUCUAGUUGCCAGCAUGUAAUGAUGGGGACUCUAGAGAGACUGCCGGUGAUAAACCGGGAGGAAAGGCGGGGACGAUGUCAAGGUCAUCAUGGCCUUUANGGGGUAGGGGCUACACACGUGCUACAAUGGC
rnacentral:rRNA from 1 species